GGUUCCAUAGUGUAGAGGUUAACACAUCUGCUUUACACACAGAAGGUCCUGGGUUUGUGCCCCAGUGGAGCCA
rnacentral:tRNA from 1 species